AUUAGGGGAAACCGAGGAGAUGACUGGGCAGGCUGAAAUGGAACUGGGAUCCGAGGCGGGCUUGAAGGACCUUCACGGCAUGGUGCAACUCCCACCUGCGGAAGGCAGGCACACAGAUCGAGAACAUUGAUGAGGACUUCCGAGACGGGCUCAAGCUCAUGCUGCUCCUGGAGGUCAUAUCAGGGGAGCGGUUACCUAAGCCGGAGCGGGGGAAGAUGAGAGUGCACAAAAUCAACAAUGUGAACAAAGCGCUGGACUUUAUUGCCAGCAAAGGCGUCAAGCUGGUCUCCAUCGGGGCAGAAGAGAUUGUGGACGGCAACGCAAAGAUGACCCUGGGAAUGAUCUGGACCAUCAUCCUUAGGUUCGCCAUCCAGGACAUCUCCGUGGAAGAGACCUCGGCCAAGGAAGGGCUCCUUCUCUGGUGCCAGAGAAAGACAGCCCCGUAUAAGAACGUCAAUGUGCAGAACUUCCACAUCAGCUGGAAGGAUGGUCUUGCCUUCAAUGCCCUGAUCCACCGGCACAGACCAGAGCUGAUUGAGUAUGACAAGCUGAGGAAGGACGACCCUGUCACCAACCUGAACAAUGC
rnacentral:misc_RNA from 1 species